AAUAUAUUUGACAAAAGCCAAACAUGUCCCAAACACGUCCAUUUUUGGCUUUGGUUAAAUUGUUUGGGUUGCAUGUGCAGGUGCAUACUGAAUGGAUGACGAUAUGAUACACAAGUAAUCAAGGAAGCUCACACGGUGGUGUGCAGUGUGGACAGAUGGAAGCUUCUUGCGCCAAAAAAAAAAAAAGAAAAAGAAAAGAAGAGGAGAUAUAUGUUGGUUUCCCCUAUGGUAUAGAGGCAAAUCAACUAAACAAUUAUGAGAUGACAGAACUGCAAUUCCUGGGAGGGAACUGAAAGAACUGUCAAGAUUUGGCUGGAUGUACUACAGUAUUCCAGGUAGGACAUCUUGUCCACAAGCUGUACAUGAUUGUGAUCUGCCAUGGUGCGCCGUUGCUGAUAUUAUACUCCUAUGAAUUUGUGAAAGACUGAGCGGAGGAAGUCUUCUUAAUUUAUAAUGUAAUCAUGUAUUCAUGUGGCAAGAGUUUGGUGAGAAUAGUUGGGUCCCGAAGCUAUUACUCUAGCUUGUUGCAUAAGUAUGGCAUUUCUGAAGCUGAAUUGCCAAAGCUUGUGCCUUUAAACAUUCAGAAACACAAACACAGAUGUUUGUAUCCCUCUCUGUUUGGUGCUUCUGAAUUCUGAUGCAGGACAGCAAGAGUUAUCGGCACAAGUUGGCGAGUCCAUCACCAUUGAGCGUCAGUGUGGGACUUCUGGAAGCACACUUGUCGCUGCAAUGCACAUAAAAGAAACGACCGACACGGGACCCUCUCGAGCUGUCAAAGCAAGCAAGACUAUCUAAAAGGCCAAAGACACGGCGUGGUGUGAAAUCAGACCGACCGGCCGGCCGGCCAUUGCUCAUUGCUGCUGCACAAUAUUUGGAGGCAGGCACCAGCUGCCACUUUGCCACUACUCUGUCCAUUAGCUCCCCCUCUGCAACUGCAAGGUUGCUUGUUGGCAGUUAGUUGCUCGAGUGGCAAUGAAGAUCAUCAUCACUGCAACCAAUGGCAGGAAAAGGAAGAUGUUCACCAUCUCCUCCACUUGAUGUGCAAACGGUAGACCACACAAAAUGGGAAACAUUUGCAUGGUUCACCACUUGAGGAUUUGACUUUACAUUCACCGUGUGAUUCAUGCUUGGUCAAGCACUAUUUCACUCCCACUUGUGAUCGGCAAGGUUGAAGAAAAUGGAAUGCUGCUUUUUUCCUUUUAAUAAAAAGAAUUUAUUUACUAGGGAAUAUUCAUUCUGUUGUUAAAGGAAAAAGAUAUAAUUCUAGCAUAGUACCAAAUCAA